ACCCUGUAGCUGCUAAGGGGCG
rnacentral:miRNA from 2 species